rnacentral:sRNA from 2 species
AUAUGUUAAUUUAACAAUGCUGUGGAAUGUAGUGAAAAUCUACAACUGUGCCGCAACGGUGUAUUUUUGGUAUUUUCCAAAAUAAGUCCGAUCUUCAGCAAAAAAUUUUUAAACUUGCUUAGGCAAGUU